UCUACCGCGUCUCGAUGGUAGAGCCGGCCUCAGGGGCGCCUCGGCGUUGGUGGCUUCGGUGAGGAAAAGUGAGAGUUCCAACUUUCCUCUUGGCCUGAGAGGUUUUUGGCGCAGAGCGUCGUCAUGUCAGAGAAAAAGCAGCCGGUGGAUUUGGGUCUCUUGGAGGAGGACGACGAGUUCGAGGAAUUCCCUGCCGAAGAUUGGGCUGGUUUAGAUGAAGAUGAAGAUGCACAUGUCUGGGAGGAUAAUUGGGAUGAUGACAAUGUAGAGGAUGACUUCUCCAAUCAGUUACGAGCUGAACUAGAGAAACAUGGUUAUAAGAUGGAGACCUCUUAGCAUCCAGAAGAAGUGUUGAAGCAACCUAAACUUGAACUGUACUAAAUUCUAAGUCAGAGAACCCAGGAUGGGACACUUUAAAAAAAAAAAAAAAAAAGUUUAUUUCAUUACCUGCUGGGAUUUAUUUUUGUUUUUGUAACACACACAAAAAAUAAAUGUUUUGAUCUAAUCUUGGUUUGGUUCAGAAGUCUUGAUCUUUUGCUUCCCGUCAUUAAUUUUCUCACACUAUUUAUGAUUUUCUGGGACUUUAUUAUAUAGAGAUAGUAAAUUCAUCUGAUCCCCGAUUCAGCACUUUUUUUUUUAACCACAUCAAUUUAAUGUUGAUCUUAUUCAUAAGGUUACUUCUUUUAAGUUACAUUUAACCUUAAUCUCAUCUGUAUUUUGAAAGCUUAGGAAACAUUUGCUGACAUCUCUAAGGUGACCCUUUAAAACCUGUGUUUUAAAAAUAUUAAUCAUUUUCAAUUGAUGCAAUUAGUUCCUGAGCCAUUAAUAAUAGUAUUAAUAGUUGAUAGAGUAUUAUUAGUACUGAAAACCAAGUGGUUUGAUCAUAGUCAGUGUCCUCUGUCAAAAUUGGUGAAGUAGGAUCAAGAGACUUUGUUAACAUAGGCAUAUUCUCAGGUACUACAUAAUAGAUUCAUUUAGUCUAAGAUUCUACAAAGUGAUUAUCAUUGCCACAUCUACUUUUGUGAGUGGGAGAUACAAUUUAGUUGGUA